AAUCUUCCACAAUGGACGAAAGUCUGAUGGAGCAACGCCGCGUGAGUGAAGAAGGNUCNNGGAUCNUNAAGCUCUGUUGUAAGNNNNNAACAAGUACAGGAGUAACUGUCUGUACCUUGACGGUACCCAAUGAGGAAGCCCCGGCUAACUACGUGCCAGCAGCCGCGGUAAUACGUAGGGGGCGAGCGUUGUCCGGAAUUACUGGGCGUAAAGGGUACGUAGGCGGCUAUAUAAGUCAGGUGUGAAAUACCAGUGCUUAACACUGGAAUUGCAUUUGAAACUGUGUAGCUUGAGUGCAGGAGAGGAAAGUGGAAUUCCUAGUGUAGCGGUGAAAUGCGUAGAGAUUAGGAGGAACACCAGUGGCGAAGGCGACUUUCUGGACUGUAACUGACGCUGAGGUACGAAAGCGUGGGUAGCGAACA
rnacentral:rRNA from 1 species